UGCGUAGGCGGACUAAUAAGUCAGUGGUGAAAUCUUUCGGCUCAACCGGGAAACUGCCAUUGAUACUGUUAGUCUUGAGUUCGGUUGAGGUAGGCGGAAUGUGUAAUGUAGCGGUGAAAUGCUUAGAUAUUACACAGAACACCAAUUGCGUAGGCAGCUUACUAGACCGACACUGACGCUGAGGCACGAAAGCGUGGGUAGCAAACAGGAUUAGAUACCCUGGUAGUCC
rnacentral:rRNA from 1 species